GUCACGCCCCGAACCCGGGGGCCCGGGGCGCGAGCAGACGCCGCGCACCUGCAGGGCGGACCCCGCAGGCACGCAAGGCAGAUAAAUCAGAUUCCACAUCAAUAGCUAAACAAAGAUAAAUUCCAACUUUCAAUUCAAAUGUCCAUAUAUACAUAAGUCAAAAGAAAGUCCAUAUCUACUAGCUAAUUACAUCAUGAUCACUCUAU
rnacentral:lncRNA from 1 species